AUGCAACUCAAGCCGAACAUUGUACGGGGGAUGAUUGACCGGUGUUUAUUUCAUUACGGGAUAAGCGCCUUGGGGUGAAUCAGAGCUGGCGUUCGCCGGCAUGUAGGGUACUCCUUGACCCGAACCCGACAACUAACCUCGCAGGCUACCUUAAGGAGGAACA
rnacentral:sRNA from 2 species